rnacentral:rRNA from 1 species
CUCGCCCCGAUUCUUCCUCUUCUUCCCCUUCCCUCUCACUUUCCUCAUCUUCAUUCGCCAGGCAACUGUGUCGACGGAAGACGCUGGAGACGAUGCACGGCAGGGUGUCUUGCUGCGAGAAGCUUCCGUCGUCCGGGCGCGCUUCGAUGCUGCCAGAGGAGGCGCUGUCGUGCUCGCCUACACGCGCAAGCUGCGGGUUUUUUUGCAAUGCAGGGGCUCGCUGCUGCUAGCCCGCAUGAGCUGGCUCCAAGGGUCGGGCGCUACAACUUGAGGAGCUCCAAGCUGACUACCUGUUGUGGCUCUACGGAGUUGCUCAUGCGACGCGGUGAGUGCUGUUUUGGUGGCUGGAGACGCUGUGUGUGCGGGGAUGGAAGUGAUCUUGUGGUUCUGUCAUCAGCGAAUCUAGUAGCCCAAAUCAUACUGUGUAUUGACACAUUUUCUAUUUCUCAAGGGGCCGUCCGUCCUCCUGCUGAUUGGAUUGUGCUUCUUCGUUCUGUUCCCUUCUUCCUCUGGUUGUUGAUGCCUCAAGCAGCCGCUGCCGAUUAUGUGCUUGUAGUUGUUUCUUCAGUUCCCUUCC